CUUGAUGGAGCCGAGCAGCAGUGGCUGCCCUUCCGUCCGGUCCUGGCCGUACGUGGCGAGCAGCGCCUGUGCCUC
rnacentral:antisense_RNA from 1 species